GGCGUGCCUAAUACAUGCAAGUCGAGCGCGGGAAGCAGGUAAUCGCCCUUCGGGGCGUGCGCCUGUGGAACGAGCGGCGGACGGGUGAGUAACACGUGGGCAACCUGCCUGUAAGACUGGGAUAACUCCGGGAAACCGGGGCUAAUACCGGAUGAUGUCUUUCCUCGCAUGAGGGAAGGCUGAAAGACGGCCUUUGUGCUGUCACUUACAGAUGGGCCCGCGGCGCAUUAGUUAGUUGGUGAGGUAAGAGCUCACCAAGGCGACGAUGCGUAGCCGACCUGAGAGGGUGAUCGGCCACACUGGGACUGAGACACGGCCCAGACUCCUACGGGAGGCAGCAGUAGGGAAUCUUCCGCAAUGGACGAAAGUCUGACGGAGCAACGCCGCGUGAGUGAUGAAGGUCUUCGGAUCGUAAAACUCUGUUGUCAGGGAAGAACAAGCGUGGUUCGAACAGGGCCAUGCCUUGACGGUACCUGACCAGAAAGCCCCGGCUAACUACGUGCCAGCAGCCGCGGUAAUACGUAGGGGGCAAGCGUUGUCCGGAAUUAUUGGGCGUAAAGCGCGCGCAGGCGGUUUCUUAAGUCUGAUGUGAAAUCUCGCGGCUUAACCGCGAGCGGUCAUUGGAAACUGGGAGGCUUGAGUACAGAAGAGGAGAGUGGAAUUCCACGUGUAGCGGUGAAAUGCGUAGAGAUGUGGAGGAACACCAGUGGCGAAGGCGACUCUCUGGUCUGUAACUGACGCUGAGGCGCGAAAGCGUGGGUAGCGAACAGGAUUAGAUACCCUGGUAGUCCACGCCGUAAACGUUGAGUGCUAGGUGUUAGGGGGUUUCCGCCCCUUUGUGCUGAAGUUAACGCAUUAAGCACUCCG
rnacentral:rRNA from 1 species